UUAAGUUCAGCGGAUAUCCCUACCUGAUCCGAGGUCAACCUGAAAAAAUUGGGGGUUGCUGGCUAGCACGCACCCGGGUCUCCGAAGCGAGAAGAAUUACUACGCUUGAAGCCGAAUGGCGCCGCCACUGAUUUUAAGGCCCGCCAGGUGCUGGCGGGGCCCAAUACCAAGCAGAGCUUGAGGGUUGUAAUGACGCUCGA
rnacentral:misc_RNA from 1 species